ensembl:lncRNA
UCGUUUUAUACCUUAAUGUUUUCCACAGAAGUAUUUAUUUACUAUUUGUGUACGUGAUUAUUAUGAAUGAACUUUUGGAAGGAAAGCGGACUGAACUAUACCGCUGAUUAGAUUUGGAGACUAUGAGCGCACCUUUCAAAGCGAACGAGUAUUCGUUAAUAAGAUUUUUAUGGAUGACAUGCAGGCGGAUGAUGGUUUGAUUCGUAGCUUACGUUUGUUGAUGUAUUUUGAGUCGCCCUUGCGGUCGGUCGGCUCGGUUCCUUUUUCAGCCAGGACACUGAUCCUGACGGGUCGUCACAUGUCUGAGCAGCGAGGUUACACUUUGUACCAUGAGGACAGCAGUGGAUGAAAUCCUCACAACAUACGGCCUGUCAAGACACGACAAUAUGUUAAACUUCACGUGGACUUUACACGCAAUAAUCAUGAUGGACGAGUUGAAUGUUUUACCUGCGAGUGAAAGGGAUUUUACCUGAGGCAGAGGGCAGCAGCUCCAUUGUCCUUCUUCGGUCUUACAGCAUGUGGUUACACUUUGUACCAUGAGGACAGCAGUGGAUGAAAUCCUCACAACAUACGGCCUGUCAAGACACGACAAUAUGUUAAACUUCACGUGGACUUUACACGCAAUAAUCAUGAUGGACGAGUUGAAUGUUUUACCUGCGAGUGAAAGGGAUUUUACCUGAGGCAGAGGGCAGCAGCUCCAUUGUCCUUCUUCGGUCUUACAGCAUGUGGUUUCAUCAGGACAAGCCGUAGUGUCGUCACAGGGAACUUCAGAAACUGAACACACACAGCGAGAGGAUUAUAUUAUUUAUUAGAUUAAAAAAAAACAACACAUACAAAAGGGCGCUUUAUACUUGUAACAUAUUUAGCUCCACUUUCCACAUAUGAGAAUCUGGAGUAUCUCCAGUGAUCCUUCCAUCUCUUCACACCUUCCACAAUGCUGUGGAGAAACUCUCAAGCUCUCCUCGUUUCAUCUCAUCCAUUGUACCAUUUACCAAAGACUGCAAAUGUUCUACCCACUCACACACUGCAGAAAUGAGCAACACCUGACCAGUAUCACUUUUCUCUUUCCUCUCUGGAAUUCCAGAACCUGAUCUCUAUCAGAUGUCACUUUUUCCUCAUGCAGAAAGACCCCCAGAAAUCCACCCAGAAACUGCCCUUGUGGCUUCACAUUGCUAAAUCAUUUAUACACUUGUCCCUAAUGUUGUCCCAACAGUGGCAAGAAAAACUCCAUGAGAUGAUAUGAGCAAGACACCUUGAGAGGGACCAGACUCAAAAAGGAACCCAUCUUCUUCUGGGGGACACCAGAUUAUGAGUCACUAGUCAUCCACAGCUGAGUCACGCAGUGCUAUAUGUGUUGAAAGGAUCUUAAGUAGCCAAAAUGUCAUUGGUCCUGAUCCUAGCUGACCUUUCAACAGCCUUUCACACGGUCAACCACAAGGUUCUUCUGUCCAUCCUCGUAAGCCUUGAACAUUGAACAUGAGCUGACUUGAGCAUGAUUGAGGGUUACUUCCUUCUUAGAGGGAUGCUAAUAUCAAGAUAUUAAUAUCACAUAUAUUAGAUAUUCACAGAUAUUAAUAUCAAGAUGCUAGAAUCACAGAGAGUAUUCAGAUCUCCUCCCUACCCCUGUUGGGGUCCCGCAAGGUUCAGUGCUUGGCCCCCUCUUUUUUACAUUAUAUCAUAAUGUCCUCACAUGGCUUCUCCAAUCGCUGCUUUGCUGAUUACACUAAACUCAUCAUCUCCUUCUGAGACCAAUACAGGUCUGAUCACAAACGCCAUCAAGUCCGAGACGAGACCAAGUCAAUACAGACAAAGUCUGUAGACUGAUCUCGAGUUCUACAGCCCUGUCUUGAUAAGUGUAUCUAACGUAUAAGAUGUGUUCAAAGGAGUGAAUGUUGUCAUAUUAUAUCAUUCAUGUUUAAUGGUAUUACAGAGAACUGGGAUUAUUGGUGUUUCAUGACGAACCCUUGGUAUCUGGAACAUUCUUAUCCCUGAUUGGUUGGCUCGGUUCCUUCUUCAGCCAGGGCACUGACCCUGACGGAUCUUCACAUGUCUGAGCAGCGAGGUUACACUUUUUACCAUGAGGACAGCAGUGGAUAAAGUCCUCACAACACACCGCCUGCAAAGAAACAACAUUAUUAUAAACUUCACAUUUCACUAAACGUCACUAACGCCAGCUUUAGUCCUUCCGAGUUUAUGACUGUUUGCAGAUCCCCUGACGUCCCGCCUGUUUAUGGUUAUAGAUUAGUGCCUGCCUACAGUUAUUGCACUUUACCUAUGACAGGCCUUACACAUUAGAACAAGUGAAUUUCCCUCCAUGGUUCAAUAAAGUGUGUCUUAGAUUGUCUUCUCUUAUCCUAGUUUAUGGUGUCCUGUCUUGACUUGUCAUGUCUUGUCUUAUCUUAUAAUGUCUUGCAUAACACAUUAUAGCAUUAUCUGUACGUCUGGUGUUAUCUUGUCCUGCCUGUUCUUACAUUUUCUGCUCUAAUCUUAUUUGUAUUAUCUUGUAUUGGCCUACAUUAUCUUAUCUUGAAUUUUCUUGUGUUUUAUUAUCUUAUCUGCUCUUGUCUUGUCCACUAUUAUCCUAUCCUGCCUUGUAGUAUCUUGUAUUAGGAUAUCUCAUCUUAUAUUAUCUCAUCUUAUAGGGCCAGAGCCAUAUCCCCCUGUAGUUCUUGCCUGGCUGGUAGAGUCUGGCCUUGUAUUAUCUUGUCAUAUUGUACCUCAUCUUAUCUUAUCUGCUCCCUCUGGUUCAGUUGCUAUUUAGACCUUUUAAUAAAUCUCUAAACCUGCACUUGUGUUCUUGUCAUUUAUAUGCCAGAACUACCACGUAACUACGAUACCCAUCAGCCACUGCUACGCACAUGAUCACAUCACAUGACUGGUUACACCUGACUCACACUCGACGCCCCUUCAAGAAGUAUUUUAAGGACGGGUUUUCCAGUCUGGCUGGAGUCUUUCUCCCACCCUCCCUAC